UCAGGUUACCUGUGGAAAUUGCAGCGCAAUUUUCUUUCUCUCAAGUUCACCAUAGAACAGUUUGGGUUGGAAGGGACCUUUAAAGGAGCUGGAAGAUGCCACAAGAAGUCACAGCAGUAUCCAUGGAUAACCUUUCGUGGUUGGCUUUGAAUGACCUGCUUCCUUUAAGAUACUUCUCCAUGUCUACAUGGCAGGAGGUUCUUUGGGAAAAAUGAUGUAAUCCAUGGAGGUCCUGCCUGGUUUGCCUGGCAGCCCAGCAGGAAUGUGGGUACCACGCAGCCUCAGCUGAGCCUCUCCAGGUUCUCCAGGCUGCAGCAGAGAUUAAUUAAGUGGUGAGUAAACACCUCUACCCAGCCUGGCAGCCAGAGCAGGGAGCUGAGCUUAGCAGGGAAGGACAGCAAGUCUGUGAGUGAUUUGGAUUGUAUGGAAUCAUGGAAUCCCAGACUGGGUUGGGUUGGAAGGGACCUCAAAGCUCAUCUGGUUCCACCCCUGCCAUGGGCAGGGACAUCUACCACCAUCCCAGGGUGCUCCAAGCCCUGUCCAGCCUGGUCUAGACUGGAUAUUAUGGAAAAUUUCUUCUCUGUAAGGGUGAUCAAGCACAUGACCAGGCUGCCCAGGGCAUUGCUGGAGUCCCCAUCCCUGAAGGGAUUUAAAAGCCAUAUGGAUGUGGCACUUGGGGACAUGGUUGGUGGUGGCCUUGGCAGUGCUGGGGAAAUGGUUGGACUCUGAUCUUAGAGAGCUUCUCCAGCCUCAGUGAUUCUGUGAUUCAAUGAUUAAAGGUCCCUGCUCUGCUUUGAGCUCAUGACCCUCAGCACCCAUCAGGGUGAGACAACAGCAGUGCUGAAAGCCCCUGGCCUGGCUUGGAAGCUCUGUGAGGAAGGGAUCUCAGCCUGGCUGUGGCUGUGUCCCGUCCUCUGUGGAGCAGCACAUCCCUGAGGCACCUGGAAACACAGCCCUGCCCUCCAGUGCUCAUCUCCUACACCUCACAUCACUCAAAGACUGCUCUGAGGUGUCCUGCACCUGGGAAAACUCAGGAGAGCACCAUGUUCCCAGAGAUCCUGGGGCCAGCCCCUCUGGACAAUGCUGCAUUUUCCUCUCCUUGUGUUUCACGCUGUGCAGGGAAGGGUGACAGCCACCUCAGCCAGGCAGAGAGUUUAUCCAGAGUCUGGGAAAGACUUCCCUGCUCCAAAAUGCAGCUGGAUAGUGGGGAGGGAUCCAUUUGCCCAGAACUCCAUUCCUGUCUGCAAAGCAGGGGCAGCACUGCCCUGGGGGUGUCCCCAGCUGACCCCAAUCCGUUGGAUAUAAUUCAUUAAUCACUCUGCACUGCUUAUUAACAUCGUUAAUGCAGCAGAGCCCACGAGUCUUCACCACUUCACCCUCCAUCUGUUCACAGAUUGCUCCCUGUUUUUCACACUGCCUCAUUCCCAUGGCGCUGAACUGAAUGUUCUUCCCUCCCCUCCUUCCUCACUCUGUCUGGUGACAGCCCCAAACACCCAGUCUGGUCUGCAGCAAGGUCAAAAUUACCUGACAGACUUGAAAAGAUGGGUGAGCCUUUGCUAUGAGACAGCCUGGCACUGCCGGGGGGGGAGGAUGACAGCAGCAGUUUGUUUCUUUCACAUAGAAAACUGAAAUAUGGGAGGUUUUCCUAAUUUUCUUUUUCCUGAGGUAUUCGUGAGGUGAUGUUUUCCCUCCCCAGCUUGUUUGAGGGCUCCCAGAAGCUCACUUGGUGGCAUUGCCCUGAUUUCUAAUGGGCCCAUCCCCAGUGAAAACUCGUGUCAAACCAAGUGUGAUGCUUUUCCUUCCCUUUAAGGAUGAUCUGAGGGCUUCUCACCUCUGCCCAGAGCCCAAACUUAGCAGCACUGAAAGAACGUGCCCAGACAAGCUGCAAACUUUGCACUGCUGAUAUUAAAGAACAAAAAACCAAAGACACCUGAAGGCAGGAGAGAUCCCAGAGCUCCCUGACUCUGGGGCACGGGCAGCGGCUUGGAGCUGCAAUGCUCAGCCCCGCUGUGAUUUUCAAAUAGCUCAUUUAUUCUGUCCUCACUGACUGCUCGGCUCUGCAAUUAUUUGUCCUUGGUUCUGCCAGCUCAGGACACGCAGCCUUUGCUAUUCCCCUCUCACAAAUCUUGCUUGUGCAGAGGGCAGAAAGAACCCUGGCAGAAGGGACGGCUGUUGCAAGAAAUCCAAGGCUUCAGGGGGCAUUUACAGAACCCUGCUUGCUUUUAAAAUGGUCUUUUUCCUGACCCUUUGUGGAUCCUGGUUGGACAAACCACCCCAAUAAAACCCAGGCACCGGUCCAAGGCAGUCUGCAGCACAGACCCAGACUGGGCUUAAUUUUCAACUUGCAAAGCGAGGAAGCAGGAAAAAUUACUGAACCCUUUCUCCUUUGGGGAGGAGAUUUCCCAGAGACAUGGCUCAGGCUCCUGCUGGAGCCCAAGUGAAGCCCGGCUAAGAGCAUCCCAGGGCCCCUGCAGCACAGCCAAGCGGGUUUGCAAGGACUGGAGAAGAGCAGGGAUCCAUCAGCAUUGGGUCUUCCCAGCUCAGGGAUGCAAAUCCUUCCCCACUGCACACUCAGAGCGUUGAAUUUGGCCUGCGGAGAGUUUAUGAGACAGCCCUAGGGCUCUGUGGUGAGAUGAUGCAUGAAUGGUGAUAACCCAGGCCAGUUCCAUGGAGUGGGGCCAAAGGAGUUCUUCCAGGGGCUGCAGGAGAAGCUUGACCUUGAAUAUGGGCUGAGACAAUGGCACAAGAGCUCACACAGGCCCCUCCUCGUGAUAAAAUCAACUUUUCCCAAUAAACAGCAGCUUCAGGGAAUAAAAAAUCCCACAGAAUAAUUUCUACCCCGAGAUUCCCCGUAUUUCAGUAAUUUCAGCAUCAAGAAAUAUUUGGGUGACAUCUAAUUUUGAAACAACAUCUGCCUCUGGGGACCAAACCCUUUCAAACUACUACAGAAACUGCAGUAUUCCAACAAAUCUAACCCUGAUAAAAUCCCAGCUUCCUUGGCAUCUGGACAGCUGGGGGGGUGGGGGGUAAAAAACCCCAGCAGAUGCAAAAAGCAAGCAAUCAGGGCAGAGUUUAUUUUAAUAAACCCUUGUGACUGCAAUAAUCUCAGCUCUGAUUAGCACUGGAGAUUAAAAAAUGUAAAUAUUUACCAGAACAUCUUCAAUAUCCUCGUGGAGUCAAAAGGGCAGUUCUUCUGCGUGCAGCGUGUCAGAACUACUUGCUCUGGCAAACUCUCUCAGACAACUGUGGAAUUAUGCAAAGAGCUUCAGCAUAAUUAAUUAUAUUCAUUACAAAGCCAAAAUAUUGGAGUUUUAUUUGCUUUCUGUUCCAGCUCUUAGUUCUCUCUGCUUUCUACCUCUUGUGUGAGACUCCGACGGCUCCUUUAACAAAAGCUGUGAUUCCCUCUUGGCUUGAGGAGCUGCAUUUAAUGAAAACUAACAAGUUGCAUGAUGCCUGCAGUAAAUUUGGGCUGCCAGACCUCCUCUAAGUCCCUUCAGGAGGGAUGUCUUUGCUUCUCCUUCAUUUCAGCAGCCCAGAGAAGCUGUGGCUGCCCCUGGAUCCCUGGAAGUGGCCAAGGCCAGGUUGGAUGGGGCUUGGAGGAAGCUGGGAUAGUGGAAGGUGUCCCUGCCCAUGGCGGGGGGGCUGGAAUGAGAUGGGCUUUAAUGUCCCCUCCCACCUAGGCCAUAAUUCCAUAAUUCCAUAAUUUUGUAAGCCCAGGACACAGUGUGGCUCGCUCUGCCAUGCGGGAACAUCUGCCUUGGGUUGCUGGCGACACUGGUUCCCAGUAAACUCUGGAUGCAUCACAUCAAAAGCAAACCAGGGCCUGGCUCCUUCCCCAGCUUGCCAGGCACCUGGUUUGAAGAGGCUUAGAGCUGGUCUUAAUUAACAGAGGUGCUGUGAAUGGGCUGGGGCCUGUCCUGCCCUCAGUAACAGCAUUACAUCCCAGAGAACUCAGCCCGGGCACGGAGCCUGCUGUGUGUGUUUGGGGCAGGCUGGGAAUUUGAGGUGAGGCACAAGGAGCAGUGUCUCCCUGCUGACACAUCCCCAUCCUCUGCUGUCUUCCCACCUUUCUGCUCCAUUCCCAUCUUUCUGCUGUGAUCCCACCUGUCUCUCAAUGCACAAUUCCCGGUUUUGGUACUGAGCAUGAGCAGGAGGUAAAGAUGCCACCUGCCCUGUGGUCCAGGUCUCCAAACCCAUCUUCCCGGGCCAUUCACGCCCACCCAGGAUGGAGGGCUCAGAGCUGCUGCUUUUGCUGCUGGGGUUGGAUCACUCUGGAUCCUGGAUCCAGCCUGGGCAUGCAGCACAUGUGGAGAUAACAGAGCAAAAAGCACCAUCCUUCUGUCCUUAAACCCAAAUCCUCUUCCUCAUCCCCCCUGGUGCUCCCACGCCUCAGUCCCACAAUGCCAGCUUUAAAAUCUUGAUGGGAUUGGGUCUUUUGUAGAUGCAGGAACCCCAUGGCUGGUCUAAGGAGGAAUGGAAGCUGUGCACUGAGGGAGUGACACAGAACAAUAAAUCCAAAGAGGCUUUUUAUUGCUUAAAAAAACCCCAACAGGGUCUGGGUGAGGGCAAGGAGGGAAACUUCCCUCCCUUCCAGAGGGUGAGAAAUGCCAGCAAGGGCCUUUCCUGGACACAGGGUCAAUCCAACCUUGUAAUUGUGGUUGUUAAAUCAUGCAGUGAACAAAGAUGUGGUGCUGAGCAUGGGCAGGAAAGGCCUCUUUGCUUUCCCUGCCUCCAAUGAAGGGAAAAUUCUUGCUUUUUGGGGCAGCAAAGGUGCUUGGGGGCCCCAGCAAGGUGCAGAUCUCAUGCCAUGGCUUUGCUCUUACAGAGUGAGAGUAAAAAUCGAGUCAGACAGACGGGGUGCAAUUCUUAAUAAGUGAUAAAAGCUACCAGCUUGCUGGGUUUGAGGCAGAAACCACAGCUCUGGGGCAGCCGUGCAAAUCUUCCUGCUGACGAUCCCACCACCUGCAAAGAGCUGGGCUGGCAGAGCUUAAAAGAAAGAGGAGGAAUCACUACCCCUCCCUGACGUCCUCAACGCAUCAAAAAAGAUCCUUGGAAGUAUAAUUAUUUCUGGAUACAUAAAAAUCUGAUUUGAGUUGAGUUCGUUUCAAGGCAAGCAGAACAAGAAGAGGCUGAGCACGAUGAGUUCACACAGUCACUGCUAGAAAUCGGGGGUUAGCUGUCGGAAACUGUGGAGCAAGAAGCCAAGUGGGAUUUUUCGACCUGCUCUGUCCCUGGAUCCCUUCCCACUCCAACCCCAGGCUGAGCCUCACAGCAAGUCAACCAUUUGAUUUGGCAGGCCUGCUCGGGCCGGGCCUGCCUUUUAAGCAGUGCUGAGCUGCUAAAAAAAAAAAAAAAAGAAAACACACAGCUCCAGCAUGCAAGAGGGGCAGCUGUUCUUGAACGGCUCUCAAGAGGGACAAUGAGUCUCCUCACGCCAGGAGGAAUUAGCUUUUCCUUCCCACCCCGCCAGCCAAGGAAGGGCCAGGCCCGCCCCAGGCGCUCAGAGUAAACAGAGGUGAGCUGCAAAAUUGUCUCUGGGCUCAGCCCUCGAACAAUGGGGCCCAGAGGGAAAUGGAAAAGCAAAUAUUAAUGUUCUGCCAUUCGCAUGGCCCCGGAGAAAAGAGAACAAUGCCUGUGGUUGGACACCACCUUGAUGUCUUCCUCCUCCUCCUCCUCCUCCUCCCCUCGUGCUCUAAAAUGUCAUCUCAGGAGCUGUAAUUUCUUUGGAUGGAGCAAGAGAGAGCUGAGGGCUUCCUGCUUUUCCCAUGCCAGAGGGAAGGUUGGCUUCAUUAGAAACAUAUUUCUGUGCACUCCGCCCCCUCCAAAGCCGGGCACCUCCCCAUGAAGUAAAACUCAGAAGAACAUGAGGGCCCCUUUGACCAGCAAUGGAUCCCAGCAGCUCAGUGAGAGGAGGACAAGGAAAGACAGGCACCCAAAUCCUCUUAAACCAGGCAGAAAGGGUGAGCAGGACCAAACAACAGGGAAUAUUUCCCCAGGGAGAGGCAGAGAUGAGGGCCUGGUGUGUCAUCUGCUUUCUUCAUCUCUCCAAUGGGGACAGGCUGGGAGAGCUGGGGGUGUUCACCUGGAGAGAAGAAGGCUCCAGGGAGAGCUCAGAGCCCCUUCCAGGGCCUAAAGGGGCUCCAGGAGAGCUGGAGAGGGACUGGGGACAAGGCAUGGAGGGACAGGACACAGGGAAUGGCUUCCCACUGUCAGAGGGCAGGGAUGGAUGGGAUAUUGGGCAGGAAUUGUUCCCUGUGAGGAAGCUGAAGCCCUGGCACAGGGUGCCCAGAGAAGCUGUGGCUGCCCCUGGAUCCCUGGCAGUGUCCAAGGCCAGGCUGGACAUUGGGGCUUGGAGCAGCCAGGGAUGGUGGAAGGUGUCCCUGCCCAUGGCAGGGGGUGGGAUGGGAUGAGCUUUGAAGGCCCUUCCAAUCCAAACCAUUCCACCUCUCCAUAAGGACAGUGCCUCUCCUGGCUUCCCCAGCCACCCCUGGAAGGAUCUCUUGGCCAGGCAGGUGACCAGGAAUUGCAAUGGAAAUACAGGCCAGGCUCCUUGGGCCCCCUCAGGGCUCCGUGCUGGGGGAGGAAGGCUCCCACUCCUUCUGUCCUGCCCAGAGCUGUGCAACACAGCUGGGCUCUCAUCCUGGCCUCAUUGUUGCAGAGGCAAAGGAGACAGGGAGAAGAGAGCCCUUGUGCUCGGCCAUUUGAUUGGGGAGGUUGCCACGGAAACCACUGCGUAAUUAAAGCCUCCCUCUCUGCUCCUGAAGGCUUUGGUUGUGCAGGAGCUGGGCUGCAGCAUUCAGGGCUUUUCAGCUCUGCUGGUUCCAAAGCGAGGUGUCCUCUUGGAAUGAGGCUGUUCCAGCAGCGGGACCUUAGCCUGGGAGAGAUGUGCCAUGGAUAAAUGUUUGUUGUCUUAAAGAGCAGCAGUUUUUUUGGCUGAGCAGCGGCCAGGGCUGUCCUGCCCUGUCCUUUAGUCCCUCUCCUCCAGGGCAGCAGGGAUUCGGGCUGGUGGCCUCCAAGGACACAGUGGCAUGGAGUAAUGGGAUGGUUAAUGUCAGAAAAGCCUCCCAGAUCAUCAAGUCCGACCUUUAACCAAUGCCUGCUAAAUCACGGGGCCACAUCUGUUCGUUUUUUGGACAUUGUAGGGAUGGUGACUCCACCAGUGCCCCAAAGACUGACUGCUCCUUCCAUGAAGGAAUUCUAAUAUCCAACCUGAACAUUUCCUGGUGCAGCUUGUGGCCGUUUCCCUUCAUCUUACUGGUAGUUUUUCCUGGGAGAAGAGGCCAGGGAUAUCAGGUGUGGAGAUGCUGGGAUGUACACAGGUAUCUCUGCUUCCUCAUAACACACUGGGUUUGAGCCCUUUUGUCUGGCACAGAAGGAAUCUCUUAAAACAGAAUCAUUUUUUCCUUCCUUUUCAAACACGUAGCUGAAAGGUCAGGUUUUUUCUGGUUUUUUGUUUUGUGUUGUUUUUUUUUUAAUAAACCUCCCAGCGUGGGAUGAA